AGAGAAAACUAAAAUUUAGUUUAAAGCAGUGCGAGAACUAUUUAAUUAUAUAAAGAUUUAAGAAACUAGACAAUAGACUUCUUUUGGAGAAGUAUAGGAGACUUUACAUAAUCCAAGAAGCUUUUCACAUACUUGGCAUCUCCAACUCCUUCAAUCUCAACUCUUCUGCUGAUGUCUUCUUUGCGAUCGUAACUGAUAAUAAAGAAGGAGCCAUCCAGAUAUAUUAGUGUGAAUAUGAAUUCGCUGGUGGAAUAUGAAGAGAAAACACGGACGAGUCAAAGAUUGUUUCAAGUACAGAUCAAUGAAGUAUUUGCUGCGGAUUAUAGAAGACCAGAGUUUCGAGACGACGAUGAGCUUGACUACGGGUUUUGACGGCAACUUCGCGAAAAUCUCUAUGAUCAGAUCUUGUAGAAGAUAAAAU
rnacentral:sRNA from 1 species